rnacentral:misc_RNA from 1 species
AAGACUAUAGACCUGCGGAGUACCUGCGGAGGGAUCAUUAAAGAGAAAACUGCCCUUUGGGUAGAUCUCCCACCCUUUGUUUACCUUACCUUUGUUGCUUUGGCAGGCCCGUCUUCUGACCACCGGCUUUAGCUGGUCCGUGCCUGCCAGAGGACCCCAAACUCUUAAUUUUAAGUUGUCCGAGUCUUAUAAAAUAGUAAAAACUUUUAACAAUGGAUCUCUAGAUCGGAAGAGCACACG